AUUGAACGCUGGCGGCAGGCCUAACACAUGCAAGUCGAACGGUAACAGGAAGAAGCUUGCUUCUUUGCUGACGAGUGGCGGACGGGUGAGUAAUGUCUGGGAAACUGCCUGAUGGGGGGGGAUAACUACUGGAAACGGUAGCUAAUACCGCAUAACGUCGCAAGACCAAAGAGGGGGACCUUCGGGCCUCUUGCCAUCGGAUGUGCCCAGAUGGGAUUAGCUAGUAGGUGGGGUAACGGCUCACCUAGGCGACGAUCCCUAGCUGGUCUGAGAGGAUGACCAGCCACACUGGAACUGAGACACGGUCCAGACUCCUACGGGAGGCAGCAGUGGGGAAUAUUGCACAAUGGGCGCAAGCCUGAUGCAGCCAUGCCGCGUGUAUGAAGAAGGCCUUCGGGUUGUAAAGUACUUUCAGCGGGGAGGAAGGGAGUAAAGUUAAUACCUUGACUCAUUGACGUUACCCGCAGAAGAAGCACCGGCUAACUCCGUG
rnacentral:rRNA from 1 species